rnacentral:siRNA from 1 species
UCCAUUGAAUCAGAUUCGUUGU